AGCUUUGUGCAGUGGCAGAAUCGUGGCCAAAGAGGUUUAUCCGAGGCAUGAUUGUUGCUAAAAUAAUUUGCAUAUAGUGUUUUUUUAAAAAUAGUUACUUUAGGGCAGGGAAUCUAUUAGUUCAUUCUGUAGAUG